rnacentral:rRNA from 1 species
CAGUUGCCGCGGUAAUACCAGCACCUCGAGUGGUCAGGAGGUUUAUUGGGCCUAAAGCAUCCGUAGCCGGUUGCAUAAGUUUUCGGUUAAAUCUAUGCGCUUAACGUAUAGGCCGCCGAAAAUACUGUGCAGCUAGGGAGUGGGAGAGGUACACGGUACUCGAUAGGAAGGGGUAAAAUCCUUUGAUCUAUUGAUGACCACCUGUGGCGAAGGCGGUGUACCAGAACACGUUCGACGGUGAGGGAUGAAAGCUGGGGGAGCAAACCGGAUUAGAUACCCCAGUAGUCCCUGUCUCUUAUAC